CACGUAGGGUGCGAGCGUUGUCCGGAAUUAUUGGGCGUAAAGAGCUCGUAGGCGGCUUGUCGCGUCGACUGUCGAAAACCCGCGGCUCAACUGCGGGCCUGCAGCCGAUACGGGCAGGCUAGAGUUCGGUAGGGGAGACUGGAAUUCCUGGUGUAGCGGUGAAAUGCGUAGAUAUCGAGAGGAACACCUGCGGCGAAGGCGGGUUGCUGGGCUGAUACUGACGCUGAGGCGCGAAAGCCAGGGGAGCGAACGGG
rnacentral:rRNA from 1 species